ACACUUAACAGAUCCAAUAAUGAGGCAAGACCUAAAAGGAAAGAAAGCUUGAUGAUGAGAGCAUCAAAUCUGCACCGCUGAUUUUGUUACGAUUACCAUCCUCCAGCAGAGAUAAAACCAAAGGCACCACUAAAAUAGAGAAACAGAAUGGGAUUAGUGUGAUGUUCCUAUAUUAAUGUAUAUAUGGAUUUGUCAAGCUUGAAAGCCAUUCUGCACUAUCCGAAAGGCAAGCAUUGGCAAACAAAAGUCCAAUGCUGUACGUUGUUUUCUUUGAAGAUGUAAUCUUUCCUCUCUCGGUCAGAUGUGAUCCAAGGCGGAAUGGAGAAGAAACUUCAUAAAUAAAUACUGUAGGAUAAAUAUCCAUAAAUAUUAUUUCUAGGAACUCUGGAAGUACGGAUUUGAAGCUGUGAUUGCAGAAACAAUGCUGGCAGUUAGGAAUGUUGAAGUAACCAUCAGAAAAUUCCACUGGAAAUUCUUCUAUGUUCAAAACAGAUAAUCAGAUUUCCUCGAACCAUGGAACUGAACGUAUUUAACCAAAAUAUUUGAAACCCCAAAUAAAUUCCCAAUGGCAAUUCUUUUGUUGCAGUUCUGAUACCAGAACAAAUCCCCAGUGUGGGUGGAACCAUCCUCAAACACCAACAUAUACUUUACUAUUCCCUGAACUCUGAGAAAAUCUGGAAGGGUAUAUAGCACUCCUCAAAUCCCCAAAGGGCUGUAGUGAAGAAGAGGGCAAAGACUUGUUCUCUGCUACCCCAGAGAGCAGAAUCAGUCUAAUAUACUUAGGUCACAGGAGGGCAGAUUCUGGUCAAACAUUGGAAGAAGCUUAAUGAGUGUAAGAGGAACUCACCAGUUGCCUCAGGAAUGGCCUGCAUUCUCACAGAGGCAAACUUCCAGGGGCUGCAUGCCAGUGGCAGGCAGGGCCAGAGAUGUGACUCAUCUUUGUACAGUAGGCUACAUUC